AUUUCCAGAGAUUGUUUUAAGGAGCAGUCUUAUAUUCAGGGUAGAAAGUUAUGAUUGGAUCUGCUGUUAAGGAGAACAAAGGAGCUUCUAAAGGUUUGGGAGGUUUACUGGUAGUAACUAUUCUAGGAAAUAUUUAUGUUUUAAGGUGAUGUUCACAUGGGUUCUUUAGAAGGAACAUAGUCAAGUGUGAUGGAUUAACUCUAUAUAGUCUUUCUCCUCUUGUGCGUGUAGGAAAUCUGACCUGCAGUGUCAGUUGAUGUGACAAGAGAUAAAGAAAGCACAGUAUUUUAAAAUCUAAAGCAGAUUCCUUUCUUAGAAAACAAUAGGAAAAAAUUAUAGAUGGAUGUCUUUGCUGAAAUCUAACAAUUAGCUCAUAUUCCAUGAGAAAGAGUGGCCUAAGAAUUAUUUCAUGUUACCUAGCCUUCUGAAGCUACUCACUUGAUGUGCCUAGCACUUUGAAACUAACCUUUUCUUUCUUUGUUCAUGACAGUUUAAUUCCAAAUAUUUACUAUUUUCUCUUGUAACUGUUAGAACAGUUCCUUUUGACAUUAAUUUUUGCCUACAUAUAUAUUUUUAAGUUGAGACCAAAUCGGUGAAGUGUUGAGCAAGUAACAUUUAUGAUGUGUGUAUAUUGGAACAAAUGUAAAAGGGUUACAAAGAUUAGAAACAGAGUCAUAAAAAAUGGCUUGAUUUAUAAAGGCAUUACUUUUGGUGCUUUAUAUAAUGGCAUAUAUUGAACUAAAAAUUUGUAUAUACAGUAUGUCAGCAUUUCUUAGUAACUUCUCUUGAAUCCAUUUUUAAUAUCUAAUAUUGUACAGGUUGGGGAGUUACAUUCUUCAGGCCAAUACUAUCCAGACUAUAUAAAUUUAUAAAAUAAAUUGAAAAAUUCAUUCCCCUGUAUUCAAGACCAAAGCACAUAAAUGCUAAUGUAGGGCUCAGAGGGGAAAUACAGUUCUCCUGCAUAUUUGAGAAAAUGUGAAGUCCUUUCAAGAAAAUCUAAUAAACAUAAUAAUCAUAGCCUGCUGACACUAAGGAAAAAGGACCUCAUUCACUCUUUCUUUUAUGCAGUGAUUUACUGGUCCCUACUGAUUUCCAAAUUGGAUCACGAUAGUAAAUUAUCCAUGCUGGUACCUGUGAAAGUAAGCCCUGGGAUCCAUAUUUGUUUUGUGUUCUGCUUAAAUCAGCAAGAAUGAUAAAUUUGAUGGUGUGAAAUUGGAAGUAUCAAGGGCUUUCUUUGGUGAUUGAGGGAAAUAAUGUCUCUACUUGUAAUUUAUUGUGACCCUUUUUCACUGUAUAUGCUUUGUAUGUCUAAUAUUUAUUUCAAUGCAAAUUCAAUUGUUCCUUCAUCUGUAUUGUUAUAUCUAAGAUUUUAUUGAUGUUAAAAUCUAAUUGUGGAAUAAAAAUCUCUCUGGAAU
rnacentral:lncRNA from 1 species